rnacentral:lncRNA from 1 species
AUAAUUUUUUGGUUGUGCGAACCAAAGGGAAUGAUGACCUUGGGUUGUACCAAGUCUGAAACCAAUUGGAUUUAUUUUUUGUCCCAUGUUCCCCCAUUACUAUACAUAUCAUAAUACGACAUAGUUGUAUGCUUUUUUUUCGAUUUAGGUUUUUGUGACCAUGUAAUAGAGUCCGUAUCUAUAUAUUUAGGGGUGUUUGUUUUGAUGGAUCGGUUUGAUCCUAUCCAAUCAAGUGAAUCCAAAUUGAUUUCGGUUUUCAAAACAUGGAUCUGAAUAGUCCAAACUAAAUACAAAUCCGAUCCGAUCCAAUCCAAUUACAAUUCGGUUGGAUCGGUUUUUAUAAUUCGGUUUUCAAAAACAGAAACAUUUUAAAACGAAAAAUAAUUAUAAUAUUAUCAACUUUACACAAGAAACAAAAACAAAUUAUUUACUUGUGAUUUGAAAUUUAUAAACAAUUACUACGAAGAUAUAUAUUAUAGUUAAAUAUUUUAUAAAUAGAAAAGUUUUGAGAGAAAAUGCAUAUUAAUGUUUUUUAACCGGAUGAAACGUUUUGAACCUAUUUCAAAAAAUAAAUUACAAAAUUAAUAAAUAACUAUAGAUAUAUAUGUUAUAAAUAAAUAAAUAAUAANUAGGUUUUUGUAUCGCAAAACUACGCCCUCGAGCGCGAGGUUUUAAUCUCUUCACAAUAGUACCUUCAUUGACUUCAGCUUUACUAAUGACUAAAUUUACUUCAUUCGAACCCAUAUUGAAACUAGCAUUUGCUGCUGCAGAAUAAACUAAUU